AGCUAUAAGGUAUAGUAUUACCCUUAUAGCGUAGCAAGUAGCAUGUAUCA
rnacentral:sRNA from 12 species